rnacentral:rRNA from 1 species
CCUACGGGAGGCAGCAGUGGGGAAUAUUGGGCAAUGGGCGCAAGCCUGACCCAGCCACGCCGCGUGAAGGAAGAAGGCUUUCGGGUUGUAAACUUCUUUUCUCAGGGACGAAGAAAGUGACGGUACCUGAGGAAUAAGCCACGGCUAACUACGUGCCUGCAGCCGCGGUAAUACGUAGGUGGCAAGCGUUAUACGGAUUUAUUGGGUGUAAAGGGCGUGUAGGCGGGAGCGCAAGUCAGAUGUGAAAACUCAGGGCUCAACCCUGAGCCUGCAUUUGAAACUGUGUUUCUUGAGUGCUGGGGAGGCAAGCGGAAUUCGGGGUGUAGCGGUGAAAUGCGUAGAUAUACGGAGGAACACCAGUGGCGAAGGCGGAUUGCUGGACAGUAACUGACGCUGAGGCGCGAAAGCGUGGGGAGCAAACAGGAUUAGAUACCCUUGUAGUC